rnacentral:rRNA from 1 species
GGAAAGAUGAAAAGAACUUUGAAAAGAGAGUUAAAUAGUACGUGAAAUUGUUGAAAGGGAAACGAUUGAAGUCAGUCAUGCCGGUGGGAAUCAACUUAGGGGAAACUCUAAGUGCACUUCUUCGCUUGGCAGGUCAACGUCGAUUUUGGAUGUCAUAAAAUGAUUGGGGGAAGGUAGCUCCUUAGGGAGUGUUAUAGCCCUUGGUAGAUGUGAUGUCUGGGAUCGAGGAUUGCAAUGGAUACCCUUUGGGGCUAGCUGCCUGAUCUCUAAUUGGUAUUGGGUUACGGAUAGCAUGCUGACCGUGAUCUAAUUAUUGGUUAAAAGGUUAGAGCGUGCAUAAAUUCAUUAAGGACGUUGACGUAAUGGCUUUAAACGACCCGUCUUGAAACACGGACCA